rnacentral:lncRNA from 1 species
GCCGCUUGUAUUCACAACCAAACACGUCAUCUCACUUACACAUCAAGUGCUAGUAAAUUAAUACACAAAUAAACUUUACACACGUAAUCCAUAUGAACUAUAUACAUCAUUUCGAAAAAAAUAUAAACACUCCAUCUACAAAAUACAAACACUUAACCGUAUCAACUAUAGCAACUAUAUUAAGGAACAAAAAUAUGAGACAAAUUAAUUGAAUAUAUUGCAAAAAAACGUCCUGUACACCAUGUCAUGUUCACUACAUAAUUGCAUACCAACUUACACAAUCCCAC